CAAAGGUAAGGCUCUUCCUUCCUUCCCAGGAGAUCUUGCAGAGAGAGAGAGAGAGAGAGAGAGAGAGAGAGAGAGAGAGAGAAAGGGCUUUUUCUUUCAUCAGAGAUAUAUAUAUCUCUUUCCGUCAAAGCCUCUCAGCUACUGGGUUGAAAGGACACCUCACACAGGAACCGGGUUCUCGUCGCUGCCAACAAAGAUGAAGUCUCUCUGCGUCAUAAUCAAGUGGGUACUGUGCCUGUGGAUUUUGGCAGCCAUGACCGUGCCCGCCGACAGUUCGCCAGUCCCUGGUCCCUCCGCCAUGGCCCAGUCCGGCAUUGGGGACGAAAGAGCCCCCUUCGCUUUCCCUUUGGCUGCGAACGCCCUCCCAUCCCAGGAACCAGUCACCAGGAACAGGACCCCGAAAAAAGUACGCAGGAGACUCAGGCCUUACUUCAUGGGCAACAAGAAACUCUACAAGAAACGCCAAGGGCGGUAGGCGCCCCUAGCGUUUCUGCAGUGAGACCCUGAAACCCUGAAUCCAUGACAAAAUGCAAUGGCUUGUGAUCUGUGAAGUUAGUUUUCUGAAAUAAAAUAUUUUUUUUUU